AUGGCGGCCGCCGCCGCGGCGCUCGCGAGCUCGCCCCUCGUCCACCUCACCGCCGCGGCCCGCCUCCGCCUCCGCCUCCCCAGGCCCAGGCCCUCCGUGGCCUCCUCGCGAUGGGGGUGCCCGCGAGGCGCCUACCUGGUGGACUGGAGGCCCCUGAGGCGGUGCGACCGGAUGCGGCGCUUCUCCGUCGACGAGGGCGGCGGAGGCGGGGAGGACGGGGAGAAGCGGGGCGAGGAGGAGGCGGCAGCGCCCGUGGAAGCCAAGGUGGGGGCCGCGGAGGAGCUGGGCUCGGAGCGGAGCCGCUCGGGGAGCUUCUCUUCCUCGUCGUCGCCGUCCUCUGCGACUCCUGGUGUAUCAAGCGAGCCUCCUCUUUUGAGCUUCAGUGUGGAUAAUAUCGAUACAGUUAAGUUAUUGGAACUCCUAGGCCCAGAAAAGGUUGAUCAAGCUGAUGUCAAGGCCAUCAAGGAAAAGUUUUUUGGCUACACAACAUUCUGGUUGACAAGAGAAGAACCUUUUGGUGAUCUUGGGGAAGGAGUCCUUUUUGUUGGGAAUCUCCGAGGGGACAGAGAAGAAAUCUUUGGAAAACUUCAACGGCAGCUACGUGAACUUACAGGUGACAAAUACAAUCUUUUCAUGGUGGAAGAGCCCAAUUCAGAAGAGGAUGACCCACGCGGGGGGCCACGUGUUAGUUUUGGUUUGCUCAGAAGAGAAGUUUCUGAGCCUGGACCUACUACCCUGUGGCAAUACGUUAUUUCGCUGUUACUUUUCCUUCUCACUGUGUUCUCCUGUAUUGAGCUAGGAAUUGCGUCAAAGAUAAGCAGUCUUCCACCAGACAUUGUUUCAUAUUUCACUGAUCCAAAUGCUACUGGACCCCCACCUGACAUGCAACUUUUACUUCCAUUUGUGGAGUCAGCUCUACCAGUGGCUUAUGGCGUCUUGGCUAUCCAACUAUUUCAUGAAGUUGGACACUUUUUGGCAGCAUACCCAAAGAAUGUGAAACUGGGCAUUCCUUUCUUCAUUCCGAACUUUACUCUUGGAACUUUUGGUUCAAUUACUCAGUUCAAAUCCAUUCUACCAGAUCGAAAGACAAUGUUUGACGUAUCAAUGGCUGGUCCUUUGGCUGGAGCUGCACUUUCUUUUUCAAUGUUCUCUGUAGGCUUGUGGCUCUCCUCAAAUCCUGCUGGGGCAACUGAUUUGGUUCAAGUACCCAGCAAUCUGUUCCAGGGUUCUUUGUUGCUUGGACUUAUUAGCAGAGCAAUACUUGGUUACAGUGCUUUGCAUGCUGCUACGGUUUCUAUCCACCCUCUCGUGAUCGCUGGCUGGUGUGGUUUGACAACUACUGCCUUCAAUAUGCUUCCUGUUGGAUGUCUUGACGGUGGAAGAGGUUUACAGGGUGCUUUCGGCAAGGAUGCUUUAUUUGGAUUUGGCUUGACGACUUAUUCGUUGCUUGGACUUGGAGUGCUUGGGGGGCCGCUAUCUCUUCCCUGGGGUCUAUACGUGCUACUAUGUCAGAGAACACCUGAGAAGCCAUGCUUGGACGACGUUAGCGACGUCGGCACCUGGAGGAGGGGCGCCCUGAUAGCUUCGGUGUUCCUCGUCGUGCUGAUCCUCAUCCCUCUGUGGGACGAGCUCGCGGAGGACCUAGGCGUGGGGCUUGUGAGCUCGUUCUGA
rnacentral:rRNA from 1 species